AACGAACGCUGGCGGCAUGCCUAACACAUGCAAGUCGAACGAGACCUUCGGGUCUAGUGGCGCACGGGUGCGUAACGCGUGGGAACCUGCCCUUGGGUUAGGAAUAACUCCCCGAAAGGGGUGCUAAUACCGGAUAAUGUCAUCGGACCAAAGAUUUACCGCCUUUGGAUGGGCCCGCGUUGGAUUAGCUAGUUGGUAGGGUAAAAGCCUACCAAGGCGACGAUCCAUAGCUGGUCUGUGAGGAUGACCAGCCACACUGGGAGUGAGACACGGCCCAGACUCCUGCGGGAGGCAGCAGUGGGGAAUAUUGGACAAUGGGCGAAAGCCUGAUCCAGCAAUGCCGCGUGAGUGAUGAAGGCCUUAGGGUUGUAAAGCUCUUUUACCCGGGAUGAUAAUGACAGUACCGGGAGAAUAAGCUCCGGCUAACUCCGUG
rnacentral:rRNA from 1 species